rnacentral:rRNA from 1 species
UACGUAGGGUGCGAGCGUUGUCCGGAAUUAUUGGGCGUAAAGAGCUCGUAGGCGGUGUGUCACGUCGGCCGUGAAAACCUGGGGCUUAACCCUGGGCGUGCGGUCGAUACGGGCAUCACUAGAGUUCGGCAGGGGAGACUGGAAUUCCUGGUGUAGCGGUGAAAUGCGCAGAUAUCAGGAGGAACACCGGUGGCGAAGGCGGGUCUCUGGGCCGAUACUGACGCUGAGGAGCGAAAGCAUGGGUAGCGAACAGG